GACGAACGCUGGCGGCGUGCUUAACACAUGCAAGUCGAACGGUGAAGCGCCUUCCUUUUUGGGGGGUGUGGAUGAGUGGCGAACGGGUGAGUAACACGUGAGUAACCUGCCCCCUUCUUCUGGAUAACCGCAUGAAAGUGUGGCUAAUACGGGAUAUUCUGGGUCUGUCGCAUGAUGGGUCCGGGAAAGGUUUUUUCUGGUGGGGGAUGGGCUCGCGGCCUAUCAGCUUGUUGGUGGGGUGAUGGCCUACCAAGGCGGUGACGGGUAGCCGGCCUGAGAGGGUGGACGGUCACACUGGGACUGAGACACGGCCCAGACUCCUACGGGAGGCAGCAGUGGGGAAUAUUGCACAAUGGGCGCAAGCCUGAUGCAGCGACGCCGCGUGAGGGAUGGAGGCCUUCGGGUUGUGAACCUCUUUCGCCAGUGAAGCAGGCCUGCCUCGUUUGUGGGGUGGAAGACGGAGCUGAUAAGAA
rnacentral:rRNA from 1 species